AUUUAUUAUAUGGUUUUGGCAAACAAAAAUGCGGCCUUAGUGUGAGAUAAAUUAUUUAUCUCACACUAAGGCCGCCUUUUGUUUGCCAAAACCAUAUA